UCUGUGCCUUCACUGGUUAUCCAGUUAGGAGACAGGGGCUUUGAGGUGCCUAGCAUGAGCUGAUUAAUCCUAGGAUUGGUUGAUAGGCAGCCUCCCUGUCCUCUACAUUCCUAAGACCACACUUCUGUGUUUCCAUCCUUCUGGGCAGCCCAGGCCAUUCCAGAGGGGAAGGUCCCAAGCAGGAGCCCUCAUUAGAAUCACGGGGUUGGGAGAAAACAGACAUCCUCUCAAUACAGAAUGCUGGGCACUAUCCCAGUUUCUGAUUUACUGGGUUUCUCUGGAGCUCAAGAGCUUGUUUAUCUGAAUCUGUAAUUCUGACAUGGUGCUGAUUUUACCAUCCGGGAACCACGCUAUGGGAAAUCUAUCCUUCUAGAGCCGGUAGUUCAGAUUAUCUGAGCAAAUCAGACCCUUCAGUGACAUCCUGCAGGAAAGGAUGGUCUUUCCAUGGCACAAAGUACUUUCCCUUGCUUUGGUUCCCCUGAGCCCCGGCAGCUGUACGGAGCAGGGCUUUGAAGAAAAGAGAGGUUGCUUUCUGUUGCGAAUGGUGACUGUGUCUGAACAGGGGACCAGCACAGGAAGGUAUCCUUUAUCUACCGUGCCUCCACCAGAGCAGAGUCUCUCAGCAGCAGACUACUGGAUAUCCAUGUCAAUGCCCUAUGAAAGUGCGCACAGGGGUACAAGCAGAGGGCCGCAGGGCCUUUCCUGCCCACCCUGGGGUGAAAAAGCCCGAUGAAGCUGACGUCUCUAUAAAGUCAAAUUCCGUGAUCCCAAAUCAGAGAAACUGCUGGGGACUAAGGCACCAGAAGGGGGAAAAAAAA